rnacentral:tRNA from 1 species
AGAUAAUGAGCUUGAAAAAGCUUAUAUUUUGAAAAUAUAAGAUAGAAAUUUAAAAUUUCUAUUAUCUU